UAGGUUCAGCUUCUACACCAUCAUCUUAAUAAUCAAAUUCGCAAUUAGCAGAUGAAUUGGGAUUGGAUCAACAGAAAUCAAGAAUCUAAAAAUAUAAAAAUGAUGCACAGCAGCAGCUUGUUCAAUAAUAAUUCAUUCCCUCAAGUUACCAGCUAAUGCUAGCGGUAGCUAGCUAGCUUGGUGAGCAGAAUGCUGAAUAAGGCAUUUCUAGGUGACCAAAAUGUCCCAAUUAACUUUAAUGAAUUGAAAACACGCAG